UACGUAGGGUGCGAGCGUUGUCCGGAAUUACUGGGCGUAAAGAGCUCGUAGGUGGUUUGUCGCGUUGUUCGUGAAAUCUCACGGCUUAACUGUGAGCGUGCGGGCGAUACGGGCAGACUAGAGUACUGCAGGGGAGACUGGAAUUCCUGGUGUAGCGGUGGAAUGCGCAGAUAUCAGGAGGAACACCGGUGGCGAAGGCGGGUCUCUGGGCAGUAACUGACGCUGAGGAGCGAAAGCGUGGGGAGCGAACAGGAUUAGAUACCCUGGUAGUCCACGCCGUAAACGGUGGGUACUAGGUGUGGGUUUCCUUCCUUGGGAUCCGUGCCGUAGCUAACGCAUUAAGUACCCCGCCU
rnacentral:rRNA from 1 species